GACUGCUCCGGUGGCUUAGUGGUUAGAGUGUCUGCCUCGGAUGUGUGAGGUCAAGGGUUUGCGCCCUGGCUGGGUCA